UGAAGUGUGGCUGUGGUCUCGAAAGGGUGCAGGUUGUGGUUGUUCGUCUAUUCCGUAGAUCGGGCGGUAGCAUUUCAAAAAUUUUUUACUGUAAGCUGUGUCAAGAGUGAGGUAGUGGUGGCGAACUACCUUCUUCAACGCUGUAGCCCAACUACUGUUGGUUACGUAGGGACCGAGGAAUUAAGAGCCAGGCAACACACACAAAUUGCUGAAGGAACUCAGCAGGUGCCAUAUUAAUAGAAGCUGCUGAUCUUAUUGGCAUCAUUAUGAGAGAGAGGAAGGAGGAGAAACAAAUAACAUCAUUGAGGAAAAAACAGAAAAUGUUCUUAGAUAACAUGGAAGCAAAAAACAGAUUGGGCAUGAAAAUAAAGUUGAAUGCUACUGUUAAUGGCAUCAAAAUCUAAUGGAAAUGCUGCCUUAAGUCAGGUUUUAGAUUGUCAACAGCUGGAAGCGGAACUUCUUGCAAACAUAACCACAUAAUUUUGAUGCUAGUGGCUGCUGCUCAUAUGGUAAGUGAAGGCAGGAUAAUGAGCACAGAUUUUAUACUUGGUUGGAAUUCAAAAGUCCUUAUUCAGUCCACUGAAAUUUCUAAUUAUUUUGCUUUGAUGACUAUUUCAGCCGGGAAGGCAAUUUAAAUACCAGACCUCUGAAGACCCUAUCUCCUAUGGUAACUCAAUGAAUUCAUUAUAUUUCCACAGUAUUGCAUAAAAUUCACAUAUCUCCCUUUAUUCCAGUGGUGCCUGGUCUCAGAGGGCUACUUUCCUGCAAAAUCUUUGGUUCCUUUCAAGACAGUCUCAGUGAAAUAUUUUUCCAGAAGUGGAAUAUAAUGUAGAACUGCUGCUAUAUAGGACUGGAUUAAUUUCUAGACGUGCAUCUCUGACUUCUAGUUAUAAUGAACAUUCACUGACUUGAAACCAGUUUUUUUUACUCUAAAGCAUACAAUUGUGUUACUUAAAACAUGAAGAUUGAACUUACAUUAUUGCUGCAGUGCCUUAAACACAUUUAUUGUGCAAAAUUUGAUACCAUCACCUUUAAUAUUGUUAAGAUGUUGCCAAACCUAGAGUAUCAGCUAGUAUAUUCCGAUUAUCUACUUUCAUUGGGAAGAUCUCAAAUAUUCCUUGCUGAUAGCAUUUCAUCAAUGACUGAAUUUCAGGAAACUAAUUAUCAAGAUUGUAAUUUCUCCCUUCUGAUUCCAUGAUGAAUGUACAGCUUACCUCAGGCUGUCCAUGAGGGUGCUUUUUUUUUUAAAUAAAAGAGGAUGCAUUGUCACAGGAUUUACAUUCGUGCAUGAACACAAGAUGUUAUACUUGGACAGAUCCAAAUAAAAGUAUCUUUCAUCUGGCCACUGACAUCUCAGAAAUGAGCACAAGCAUUUGCUGAUGACAGGGAUGGCAGCAUCAGAUUGUGUGGUCUGGCAAUACCCUAUGAAUAUGCUUAGCAGUUACAAAUGUCAUACUCAGUAGAGGACUACUACAAAAGAGAUUGCAAUAUAUUCACCAAUAACUUACCAAGUUUCUGAAAAAAGGCAUCUGAAAAGAUAGAGGAGUCUAACAGUUUAUUUUGCCCUCACUCACGAGUUUUCCCUAUUUUCUUAAGCUAGACAGAUUGAUAACUCCAUUCCUGUCGUAGUUCUAGUUGAAGGUGAUUUUAUUAUUCACCAGUGCGUUACAGUACUCAAGGAGCUAGGGUAAAAAGACAGUACUUCUCAUUCUAACAAAAGGCAGAUUCAAAUAUUGAUUAAUAUUCCUUCAACUUCUAACAAGUGCUUCGAACUGAAUAAAAUAGACAAACCAUAUAAAAGGGUCACCCUGAUGAUGAAAGCUAGUUGAUUAACAAUACAAUAAUGAGCAAUCAUCAACCCCAAGUAAACAGUGAGAUCUAGUAAUUAGAAAUAAAAUAUCAAUCCAAGUCAGGGAAGUGUCAGAAAUAACUGUGGGUCAACUGUCUAGGAGGAAUAACCAGAUGGCUUGAGUCGCAAAAAAUAGAUUGAGGUGCUUUUAUUUACCAAAAUAGUGGAAAAACAAAAACCUGGACGUCCACAUCAAAACAAGAAAAAGAAUGAAAACAAAUACAAUAUAUAUACAGCUUGCAAUUGUUACCUGUCUGGUUAACAGCCAUCCUCAGAUUAAACAGAAAAAAACCCCCAAAGCCUUGGUAACCCGAGGCUUAUAACUGCUAAGCCCCUCCCCCUAGACCAGGGGUCAGCAACCUUUACCACUGAAAGAGCCACUUGGACCCGUUUCCCACAGAAAAGAAAACACUGGGAGCCGCAAAACCCAUUUGACAUUUAAAAUGAAAUAACACUGCAUACAACGUUUUGUUUUGCCUUUAUGCUAUGUAUAAACAAACUAUAAUGUGUUGCAUUUAUGAAAUUGAUGAGCUCCUGCAGAGAAAACGAAAUUACAUUUCUGCAUGCAACAAAAAUAUUUUGAACUCCGAAAAUAAGACGUUGGGUUGAAAGUUACUUUUAAGUAAAAUACUCAACGUCUAUUUGAGUCCUUCUUGUAUUUAUGAAAAACGCUAAACUUAAAUUUGCCGCCAGCAGCAAACCAAAAAUAACGUCAGCCAGCUGUCAACCUGAAAAAUAAAAGGACUAUUUCACUGAACAAUGAAAACAUAUGAAUAUAUGUAAAAUAAUAGGCAAUUAAAAUAUUUAUCAUACUUGGUCAGGUUGACUCACACCUGACAAUGCAGUCGUAUUCAGUAGGGAUGGAUUGAUGCUUAGGGGAGUGACCGGGAAGGAUAAUGUAUUUUUUUCCUCUCUGAACUCACAGAAGCGUUUCCCAAAUGAUGUUUGCAUUGCGAUGAUUGCAGAAUGUAAAUACUCCGAAUUUAUCAUGUCGUGACCUUGUUUGAACUCUCUCAAAUUGGGGAAGUGAGACAAUGUGCCUUUCUGUAAAUCUCUGGCAAGCACUGUCAACUUGUGCUCGAAUGCCAAAACAUCCUCCAACAUGUGCAGGGCUGUACGUCCUUACCCCUGAAGAGCUGUGUUCAGCGUGUUCAGGUGCGCUGUCAUGUCUACCAUGAAGUGUAGCUUUUCCAGCCACUCAGGCUGUUCCAGCUCAGGAAAGGUGAGCCCUUUGCUGCCCAGGAAAGUUUUCACUUCUUCCAGACACGCGACAAAGCGUUUCAGCACCUCCCCUCUGGACAGCCAGUGAUUAAAAACACGUUGUAGCGGUGUGCUACACGCAGUCAGUAAACUGCAGUCAAAGAUAGCUUUAUUCGAACUAAACAGCCUUGCUUUUAAGCCUCCCUCAACCCGCCCCCCCAUGGGCGCGGAUGCUGCAAAAGACAUGUACUCACAAACCCCCGUAGGCUAUCUCCCUUAGCCUGAACGCUGGCUAAUUGUGAGCAGGUUUGGAUGUGUCAGGUAAUGGGUCGCCACAACGUCUUAUUUAGAUUGUACAAGAUCACCAUAAUCUUCAAAUUUAGAAUUACAUUUCAAAAACUAACAAACCAACAUAAAAUACAUUUUAAUUAAAUACUGACCAAUUAUUUCCCAAAGCAACAGGGAGCCGCAGCACAGACGUAAAAGAGCCACAUGUGGCUCCGGAGCCGCGGGUUGCCGACCCCCGCCCUAGACCAACCAAAAGCUAAUUAACUCAAUUAUCUUCCAUUUCACACAAUCUGAAACUCCACUGCCAGUUCUCACAAUAAACACAUAUACCUCAUUGUAGGAGUCACCAUUUCCCGGUUAAAUAACUUAAAUAAACUCAAAAACUUUACCACAAGAUGAGUAAUUAGGUAACAUAACCCUUGGCCCAGUUAAAGAUGGUAUCCUUCACCAUCAGCACACCUGUGCAGGUUGCCUGCUGCUUCUAUAUUAGACAGCUCUAUACAGCAGCUCUGUUUCAAACCCAGUGACUGUGGAGGAGAGAAAUGUCAGAUUAUCAUGACACUUUGGCAAAACACCUAUUGGAAAGAUGAAUAUGAAUAAAUUGGCCUGAGGUAAUUAAACUGUGACGUAGUAUGUUUCCAGAAUGUGCCAUGUGCCAUCCAUAAUCAGUGAUGGGCCUUCGUCACAGCAAGACAUAACAUAUUUGCUCAUAGAGUAGUGAAGCAGUGAACUGCCACAGUGAGAGGCACCUGGCUUGUGGAGUUGCAUGUUUUCUUCCUUGUAUGGCUGUGCAGAUCUUUAGUCUCAGCUUGUUUGCUGCUCUAAAAGAAAUGGUGGAUAUCUGAGAGCUUACACUGAUGUUUACCAAUCCAGUCAGUGGUAGAGUGGUUGUAUUGAUGGGAUGCUAGUUCAUGAAAGAGAGAACACCAAAGGGGUUAUACUCAAAUACUGUCCACAUCACACCUUUCAACCAUAUUCAACAUGCUACUUCAUACCCCAAUUAUUAUCUACUCCUGGUAGGUGCAAGUGGAGAAAUCCUCAAGGACUCCACAACACAGAGGACGAAGGCCUAAGUAUUUCAGCAGUCAGAUUGCACAGAUGAGCAGCCUCUCUCAACACUGUGGGUAAUACACGGUGUACACCAUGGGAGAGCAUCUGAACGUCUAGCUAGAAAAAACUAACACUGUACACAAGGGGUCACAUGGACUUUUGACAAUCAGUUAUGUUAAGCUACUUGUAUCUCAAUGUUAUAUUAAAUUUAUUGUUACACACCUGUAA